UACGUAGGGGGCAAGCGUUGUCCGGAAUUAUUGGGCGUAAAGCGCGUGUAGGCGGCCCGGUAAGUCCGCUGUGAAAGUCGGGGGCUCAACCCUCGGAUGCCGGUGGAUACUGUCGGGCUAGAGUGCGGAAGAGGCGAGUGGAAUUCCUGGUGUAGCGGUGAAAUGCGCAGAUAUCAGGAGGAACACCAAUUGCGAAGGCAGCUCGCUGGGACGUUACUGACGCUGAGACGCGAAAGCGUGGGGAGCAAACAGG
rnacentral:rRNA from 1 species